rnacentral:rRNA from 1 species
UGGGGAAUCUUGCGCAAUGGGCGAAAGCCUGACGCAGCCAUGCCGCGUGAAUGAUGAAGGUCUUAGGAUUGUAAAAUUCUUUCACCGGGGACGAUAAUGACGGUACCCGGAGAAGAAGCCCCGGCUAACUUCGUGCCAGCAGCCGCGGUAAUACGAAGGGGGCUAGCGUUGCUCGGAAUUACUGGGCGUAAAGGGCGCGUAGGCGGACAUUUAAGUCAGGGGUGAAAUCCCAGAGCUCAACUCUGGAACUGCCUUUGAUACUGGAUGUCUUGAGUGUGAGAGAGGUAUGUGGAACUCCGAGUGUAGAGGUGAAAUUCGUAGAUAUUCGGAAGAACACCAGUGGCGAAGGCGACAUACUGGCUCAUUACUGACGCUGAGGCGCGAAAGCGUGGGGAGCAAACA